GAACCGGGGGAACUGAAACAUCUAAGUACCCCGAGGAAAAGAAAUCAACCGAGAUUCCCCCAGUAGCGGCGAGCGAACGGGGAGCAGCCCAGAGCCUGAAUCAGUGUGUGUGUUAGUGGAAGCGUCUGGAAAGGCGCGCGAUACAGGGUGACAGCCCCGUACACAAAAAUGCACAUAUUGUGAGCUCGAUGAGUAGGGCGGGACACGUGGUAUCCUGUCUGAAUAUGGGGGGCCCAUCCUCCAAGGCUAAAUACUCCUGACUGACCGAUAGUGAACCAGUACCGUGAGGGAAAGGCGAAAAGAACCCCGGCGAGGGGAGUGAAAAAGAACCUGAAACCGUGUACGUACAAGCAGUGGGAGCACGCUUAGGCGUGUGACUGCGUACCUUUUGUAUAAUGGGUCAGCGACUUAUAUUCUGUAGCAAGGUUAACCGAAUAGGGGAGCCGAAGGGAAACCGAGUCUUAACUGGGCGUUAAGUUGCAGGGUAUAGACCCGAAACCCGGUGAUCUAGCCAUGGGCAGGUUGAAGGUUGGGUAACACUAACUGGAGGACCGAACCGACUAAUGUUGAAAAAUUAGCGGAUGACUUGUGGCUGGGGGUGAAAGGCCAAUCAAACCGGGAGAUAGCUGGUUCUCCCCGAAAGCUAUUUAGGUAGCGCCUCGUGAAUUCAUCUCCGGGGGUAGAGCACUGUUUCGGCAAGGGGGUCAUCCCGACUUACCAACCCGAUGCAAACUGCGAAUACCGGAGAAUGUUAUCACGGGAGACACACGGCGGGUGCUAACGUCCGUCGUGAAGAGGGAAACAACCCAGACCGCCAGCUAAGGUCCCAAAGUCAUGGUUAAGUGGGAAACGAUGUGGGAAGGCCCAGACAGCCAGGAUGUUGGCUUAGAAGCAGCCAUCAUUUAAAGAAAGCGUAAUAGCUCACUGGUCGAGUCGGCCUGCGCGGAAGAUGUAACGGGGCUAAACCAU
rnacentral:rRNA from 1 species